GGCUAGCGCGCUCUCUCUCUCUCUUUCUCUCUCAAUCCCUCUCCCUCCGCCUCACCUCCUACUCCAUGUGAGGAUACAGUGAGAAGGUGGCCAUCUACAAGCCAGGAAGAGGACUCCCGUCAUGAACUGAAUCUGCCAACACCAAGAUCUUGGACUUCCCGGCCUCCAGAACUGUGACAAAUGAAUGCUUGUUGUUUAAGUCACCUAGUCCAUGGUACUUUGUUAUAGCAGCCCAAACAGACUAAGACAGAAAUCCAAGAUCCCCCUGCACUACAGCAUCAGACAGUGAGGCUGCUGUCUCUCCUGUCUCCUCCACGUGGAAGAGGUACCUGGCUCUGAGAAGACCCCUCUGCCAGAGUGACUCACUGUCAGGCCCCACAGGAAGAAGCUGAGGCCCUUAAGUGCUCAAGAAACUGCUGGCUCCAGGCAAAGAGACGAAGCUGGCCCUGGACUCGUAAAAGAGCUGCUGCACUUGAGCAGGGCCCCCUGGGCUGCUGAGCUGCUCCACAUGCAGGCCUGGGGUGGGUGCCACCUUCCCAGGCUGCUAGGUGAGCAUCUCUGAUGCUAAGUGAGGGGGCAGCUCCAGAGCCAUCUCUCCCCUCCCAGCUCCCAGCACCUCUGGCAUAGAAGCCCCACUCAGCACCAGGGAGAUAUCAUUCCUCACUUUUCACCUUUCCAGGACUCAACUCUUGCCUCAGUUUUCCUCAAGUCCAUUGCCACCUAGUUCUAUUGCGGAGGAUCAUCUUCUGUCUGUUUCCUUUCACAAUGAGAAGAGUCUCUUGGUCCUCGCUGGCUAAGGAUCUGCUUCCUUUUUUCUUCAUUUCCAAUGAUACAGACACGGGAUCAGGACUCAGAUGAAAAAGUCAAGUUGAAUCAGAAAGGGAGUUGGCAGGAGAGUUUGUCCUGUUGGCACCACUACCAGGGACCCCUCUAGCCUCCUGGACGCCUGCACUCCAGCUGAUUCUCACUGGGAUCCCAUCCUCAAUGGCAGCUCCCAGGGCUUGUCCAGAGGCCCUGGAUGGGAGGCACUCCCAGCCUGUAGAGGCAGCAGAUGUAUUCUUUAAGCACAGGGACAGCAGAAUUUUCAAGCUUGGUGGUCAAUGGUGUCUUCCUCUGAGCAAAUCACUCCCAGGGGCAACAUAACCUUCAUGCUAGAGCCACGACUGCCAACUUUCUCAGCAAUCUUCAUCACUGGCAGGGAGGUGACACUGAUCAAGAGAGGAUUCUAUAUCUGAGUUAAAGUUUCUUACUUGUCUUCACUUAUACCUGCAUCCCCUCUUGUACAAGUUCUUUCUCGCCGUUAAUAAAGCUGUAGGAGCCUGGAGAA